rnacentral:rRNA from 1 species
CAGUCGCCGCGGAAUACGGAGGGGGCUAGCGUUGUUCGGAAUUACUGGGCGUAAAGCGUACGUAGGCGGCUUUGUAAGUUAGAGGUGAAAGCCCGGGGCUCAACCCCGGAAUUGCCUUUAAGACUGCAUCGCUUGAAUCGCGGAGAGGUGAGUGGAAUUCCGAGUGUAGAGGUGAAAUUCGUAGAUAUUCGGAAGAACACCAGUGGCGAAGGCGGCUCACUGGACGCGUAUUGACGCUGAGGUACGAAAGCGUGGGGAGCAAACAGGAUUAGAUACCCCUGUAGUCCCUGUCUCUUAUACA